GCCUUCUUGAAUCUUUGAAAUUAUAUUAUAUGUUGAGUAUAUGCUUAAAUUGCUUGAAUUGAUCAUAUGCUUGAAAUGCCUAAAAUGCUUAUUUGUCUAAAUUGAGACAAUCAUUUGGAAUUAGUAUAUGUUGAAAUGUGCAUUGAUUCUUGAAAUAUGAAUUUAAGAUAAAUUGGAUCAUUCAUGAAGUAUAUGCUUACAAGUGCUUAUUUAUUUAUU
rnacentral:lncRNA from 1 species